CCCUUAGAUGUCCUGGGCCGCACGCGCGUUACACUGAUGCAUUCAACGAGCUUAUAACCUUGGCCGAGAGGCCUGGGCAAUCUUGUUAACGUGCAUCGUGAUAGGGAUAGAUUAUUGAAAUUAUUAAUCUUGAACGAGGAAUUCCUAGUAAACGCAGAUCAUCAAUCUGCAUUGAUUACGUCCCUGCCCUUUGUACACACCGCCCGUCGCUCCUACCGAUGGGUGAUCCGGUGAAUGAUUCGGACUCGGUUGCCUCUAGCCACUAGUGGCGCUCGAGAAAGUUUUGUGAACCUUAUCACUUGGAGGAAGGAGAAGUCGUAACA
rnacentral:rRNA from 1 species